GGGGGUGCACGGCUUCGACGGGGAGCAUUGGUCAAAAUGUAAAGCAUGUGGUGAGGGAAACACCUAAAAAUGACAAACAAAAAUAAACGCAAACAAUAACAAUGUUGUUCGUAUGGAAAACGCAAGCCUUGCUUGUGCUGCCUAAUCGGACAAAAACAAAUUGGUUAAUUAAGUAUUUUAACCUGCCCACUGAAAUUUCGCUUGAUUUCUUUAAGGGUAUCAUCUUAAGCGCUCUGCAAUUUUAAAUUUGUCUUUAUAAAAAUUGCAAAAAUUAAAAGACUAGCAGAUAAAAAGUUGUUUAUGACUUCGUUAUCUUGUGAAGAUUAACCAUAAACUAAACAUGUAGAAAAGUUUUGCACAAGUUUUUCGGAAGUGGGUUCAAUUCCCACCAUCUCCACCA
rnacentral:tmRNA from 1 species